UACGAAGGGGGCUAGCGUUGUUCGGAAUUACUGGGCGUAAAGGGCCAGUAGGCGGCCAACUAAGUCCGACGUGAAAUCCCAAAGCUUAACUUUGGAACUGCGUCGGAUACUGGAUGGCUUGAAUUCGGGAGAGGGAUGCAGAAUUCCAGGUGUAGCGGUGAAAUGCGUAGAUAUCUGGAGGAAUACCGGUGGCGAAGGCGGCAUCCUGGACCGACAUUGACGCUGAACGGCGAAAGCUAGGGGAGCAAACGGG
rnacentral:rRNA from 1 species